CCUACGGGAGGCAGCAGUGGGGAAUAUUGCACAAUGGGGGAAACCCUGAUGCAGCGACGCCGCGUGAAGGAAGAAGUAUUUCGGUAUGUAAACUUCUAUCAGCAGGGAAGAAAAUGACGGUACCUGACUAAGAAGCCCCGGCUAACUACGUGCCAGCAGCCGCGGUAAUACGUAGGGGGCAAGCGUUAUCCGGAUUUACUGGGUGUAAAGGGAGCGUAGGCGGCGAUGCAAGUCAGAAGUGAAAGCCCGGGGCUCAACUCCGGGACUGCUUUUGAAACUGUGUUGCUAGAUUGCAGGAGAGGUAAGUGGAAUUCCUAGUGUAGCGGUGAAAUGCGUAGAUAUUAGGAGGAACACCAGUGGCGAAGGCGGCUUACUGGACUGCCACUGACAUUGAUGCUCGAAAGUGUGGGUAUCAAACAGGAUUAGAUACCCGGGUAGUC
rnacentral:rRNA from 1 species